GUCUACGGCCAUGCUACUCUGAACAAGCCCAAUCCCAUCUGAUCUCGGAAGCUAAGCAGGGUCGGGCCUGGUUAGUACUUGGAUGGGAGACCACCUAGGAAGACCAGGUGCUGUAGGCG
rnacentral:rRNA from 1 species